UACUAGAGUAGCACUCGCAUAUCAAUAAGCGGAGGAAAAGAAACUAACAAGGAUUCCCCUAGUAACGGCGAGUGAAGCGGGAAGAGCCCAAAUUUGAAAUCUUAAAGGGUUUCCCUUUACGAAUUGUAGUUUAAAGAAGUGUUUUCUGUUGAGGUUUUGGUAAAAGUUCUUUGGAAUAGGACAUCAUAGAGGGUGAGAAUCCCGUAUUUGACCUUUACUUUCAACUUUGUGAUACACUUUCAAAGAGUCGGAUUGUUUGGGAAUGCAGUCCAAAAUGGGUGGUAAAUUUCAUCUAAAGCUAAAUAUUGGCGAGAGACCGAUAGCGAACAAGUACCGUGAGGGAAAGAUGAAAAGAACUUUGAAAAGAGAGUUAAACAGUACGUGAAAUUGUCAAAAGGGAAGCGUUUGACACCAGUGUUGUUUUUCUGAAAAUCAAUUAAAGAACUGUUUAUGCUAAGUUGUUUAGACUUUAUCAGCUAACUGUUUAGUUUUGAGCUUUUCUUUAAUGCACUUUUCAGUUAACAAGUCAACAUCAAUUUCUUUUGCUGUAAAAAAGCUUGAGGAAGGUGGCUUGAGAUUCGUCUUAAGUGUUUAUAGCCUCUUGCCUAUGCAGUCGGAGAGAUUGAGGUCUGCAGCGUAGAUCCUUCGGGGCUAAAUGCAUUUGUGCUAAGUUAUAGCAUUUUAUAGACAACUUGUUGACUAUGAUUUGUCUUGUAGCUUACUCGCUUAUGUUAUUUUACCUACGCUUAGGAUGUUGAGCGCAUGUCUCUCUCU
rnacentral:rRNA from 1 species